rnacentral:lncRNA from 1 species
CUUAUGCAUGUGUAUGUCAAUGUGUAUCAAAAAUAAUAAUAUAUAAAAGCAACAUCAAUUAUAACAUUUUAAUUAAAUUUAUUCUAGAACAAAAAAAAUAAAAAAAUAAAAUAUACCAAAGUAGUUAAUAUAAUAACGAGAAAAAAAAAAGAAAAAAGAAACAAAAUAGUUACAUACAGCAAACUAGUUAGUAUAUAAAAAAAAAAAAAAAAAAAAAAAAAAAAAAAAAGGUAAACCAAUCUACCAAACCCAAUGCUAAAGCUAGUUUGCCCGGGUCUAAAAGCAGAAAUGCAAGUAAAGGGACAAAGUGUUGUAAAACAAAAGAGGUUGAAAUAGAUUUGCAUCAGUGGUAUAUUGAUAAUAACAUAGAAGAAAAAAAAAAAGAGAGUCAGUACUAUAAAAAUUCUAAAGAUAAAUAUUUUGAAGAUAUAAAGAUAUCUAAAAAUGUAGAAGAGUAUAUAAAUGUUAUAUGUCGUAUAAAAAAUGCGUUAAUAGGAGAAAAUACUGUUAAUGAUCAUGUUACUGAUAAUAAUUCUAAUCAAAUCACGGAAGAUAUUGGUUUUACAGAUGUUAUAAAAAAAGUUUCAUUUAACAAAUUACUUAUUGAUACUCUUCAUUUAGGUACUAAAGGUGCUGUUAAUUUAGAAUAUACAUAUGACAGGGUAUAUGAUAUAAGAGAUACAAAUCAAUUAGUUUUUAAUGAUUAUAUUAUAGGUAAUAUAAAAAAUAUUUUUCAAGGUAUUAAUUGUAGUAUAUUAGCAUAUGGACAAACCAAUAGUGGUAAAACACAUACUAUGCUUGGUAAUUUAGAUUUUUUGCAUAACAUUUUUAACUUAUGUAAAGAUAACCCUAAAAGAAAGAUAAAUGAAUAUAAUAAUAAUAAUAGUAAUAUAACUAUUUCAUAUGACGAAUUAAGCAACUGUAUAAUGAACGAACCUAACUAUGUAGGUUUAAUACCAUAUUGUAUUAAUUAUAUUUUCAAUUAUAUAAGUUAUCAUAAAUUGAAAAAAG